rnacentral:rRNA from 1 species
GACGAACGCUGGCGGCGUGCUUAACACAUCAGCAAUUGAUUGGUGGCGGACGGGUGAGUAACGCGUAAAGAACUUACCUCACAGUUAGGGACAACAUUUGGAAACGAAUGCUAAUACCUAAUACUGUGAGUGAGCUUUGCGUCCCAGUAGCUAGUUGGAGAGGUAACGGCGCACCAAGGCGAUGAUGGGUAGCCGGCCUGAGAGGGUGAUCGGCCACAAGGGGACUGAGACACUGCCCGUACGGCUACUGGAGGCAGCAGUGGGGAAUUGUGGACAAAGGACCAAAGUCUGAUCCAGCAAUUCUGUGUGUACGAUGAAGUUUUCGGAAUGUAAAGUGCUUUCAGUUGGGAAGCGGUACCAACAGAAGAAGUGACGGCUAAAUACGUGCCAGCCGCCGCGGUAAUAC